AUUGAACGCUGGCGGCAGGCCUAACACAUGCAAGUCGAGCGGUAACAUUUCUAGCUUGCUAGAAGAUGACGAGCGGCGGACGGGUGAGUAACGCGUAGAAAUCUGCCUGGUAGUGGGGGAUAGCCCAGAGAAAUUUGGAUUAAUACCGCAUACGCCCUACGGGGGAAAGCAGGGGACCUUCGGGCCUUGCGCUAUCAGAUGAGUCUGCGUCGGAUUAGCUUGUUGGUGAGGUAAUGGCUCACCAAGGCGACGAUCCGUAGCUGGUCUGAGAGGAUGAUCAGCCACACUGGAACUGAGACACGGUCCAG
rnacentral:rRNA from 1 species